UACGUAGGGUGCAAGCGUUGUCCGGAAUUAUUGGGCGUAAAGAGCUCGUAGGCGGUUUGUCGCGUCUGCUGUGAAAACUCGGGGCUUAACCCCGGGCCUGCAGUGGGUACGGGCAGACUAGAGUGCGGUAGGGGAGACUGGAAUUCCUGGUGUAGCGGUGAAAUGCGCAGAUAUCAGGAGGAACACCGGUGGCGAAGGCAGCUCGCUGGGACGGUACUGACGCUGAGGCGCGAAAGCGUGGGGAGCGAACAGG
rnacentral:rRNA from 1 species